UUCAAAAAAGAAAUUCAGUUACGCCAUUUGUAAUGAUCAAACAAAGUGUUAUUAUUUGUUCACCAUUUUUCUCUGUGAUUAACGUUCGUUUCAUUCGAAUUAAUUGAAUGUUGGCAAUCAAGUAGAAAUGGGCGACUACCACAGUUCAGAGCAUCAGCACCCGGAUGUUUAUUCUAGUGUGCAUUAUCCUUGUUGGCAGCGCUAACAGUCGAUUAGCUACAAGAUUCACGUUGCGGUGACGAGAGAAUUCAUCGACAUGGUCCUGCAGUCGGUGUCAGGUAGAAAACAAAGGUGUUUUUCUGAUGAAAAUGAAUGACGACACAAUUUUACGCCGAUGGGGACAGACGGAACCGGAUUUUAUUACAAAGAAUUAAAAUCUAAAUAGAUUGAGGAUGUGUCAACCGAUUAACCGGAAUCCGGAUCGUCGGUGUUGAAAACAUGUGACCCAUUGCCAUUUGCAUCCUUUUUAACCCGUAGAAUAUUUUCACUUCUAAUUGGAUUCUGCUCGAUUCACACCCUAAAAGGAUAUUGCGGCUAUUUUGGCCAAGUUGGACACAACCUGCCGACAGACACAACCGGGGCUUCGCUUCCGGAUCAACAUUUUAUUACUAAAAAAGUUAUCGAUUGCGACAAUGAAGCCAUCAAAGAAACCGAAUAUUAUGACACGAAUAAGGUUUGAUACGCAUACCUGAAAUAUCGAUCCCAAAUCUUUUUCGUUCAAAAUUACUAACAAAUGGCGGUCAAAUUAGACAGGACUUUUUGUCAACAAUCACCGAUGGUCACGGUGGGGCAGCACCGGCUUCAAGUGAAAAUCGAUUCGCUUUAGUGGCGUAACAAUUUUGUGUUAUUACGCAGCGGAGAAACGUGAUGACGCAUGAAAAUUGUCCGUGAUUACCAUCAAGCAAUUCCUUAUACACUCUGGUGUGUCAUUAUGAGUUAGCUUAUUAUUUUGUUAGUUAAAUCCAAGACUAUGGCUUCGUCGUAUCAGCUGAGGAUCAAGGCCCAGUAACAGCGAAGGCUUCAGGUAACUAUUCGUAAUCAAUAGCGUGACAGGUGUGCCAAUAGGCAAUUAAUGGAGAGCCGCGGCCUUCUCUCGAGGCUAUCUUGAUGGCUUCUUUUUCUUCAUGGCCAAGGACGGUUACAUGGAUGUAAUCCUUCAAACUGGUGAUUGAUAGCUCGGAUUAGAUGGUACUAAUUUUCUGGUCGAGAAAGAUUUCACUUUUUAAAGGACGGAGAGAAUCUAUUGCCGAUAAUUGCGCCAUUUCGAUACGAAUAGAACUUCCGACGGCUGCGGUGGUGGCUUUUUGGAUUUUGAUGAAGACUUGAUACAAAUUUGGAGUGGAGAAUAUUACCAUGCGUGUAGGAAGGAACGCGAAAGGCAACUGAAACUACAAGUAGCCUACCAUCAAUUCUUUGAUUAAAAUCGCCGUUCUGCUGAAUGCUUUAUCCUGUUGAUGCAGUUCAUAUUCUAUUGGUAAACUGGAGUUUCUAAUAAUGUUGGUAGAUCACUAACCCCAGCGUGGACAACACAUGUUGUUUUUUCAUGUUUUCUACAAAUAAUGCAUUGACAGACAAGCCAUGGGUAAUCUUCAGGUUAAUUGCAGCAACUCAUGGGACUUGGGAGAAGUCCUGUGAAAAGACACAGGGCACAUGACCAGAUUUGUGUUUUUCUGAAUGUUCUAUUCAAGUAGUAGUUAGUUGGAACCCUAACUCAAACACAGACAACACAUUGCUGCUGCCUUACGGCCACAGGCAGGAAAAUGAUUCUUUUCUUCAGAAAAUUGGAAAGCUGUUUGAGUAUCUGGUAUUCAUCCCCACUUGAUUCAUUUCGUGCCAGCUAGUGAAAGGCGUGAAGAAUUCAAGCCAUGAAUUCAAGUUUAGCUGCUGCGUGCUGUCAGCGAGCAAGCAAUCCAAUUGAUGUCCACCAGGUGGCGCGAGUGUCUUCAAGGCCUAAAUUCGGCCAUUUUGUUCCUUGACGCAGCAGAAGUGAGAUGCCGGUCGUGACGUUUCCCAAAAUGAAAAGGUGAUUGAUCAUACCACUUUGCCAUCUGAAUUGAAAAUGCCUGUACAUUUGUCGAAAUGUCGUGCCUCGUGUGUCUCGCUGCCUGUACCCAGUCGUACGUCUCAUCCCAUGCAACAGCAAAAGUCUAACAACCACGCUGCAGCCAGAUGGUGAAAGGUGUGAUGAAGAAAAGUUCAACCGUUGUAUGCAGGAUGUGGUGCCAGUGUUAUCCAGAUUCCAGAAGUAGCUGUGCUGGAGUUAUUCCGAAGCAGCUGAGCCAGAAGUUGUCCAAAUUGCUGACUUUAAAAUUUUAACUGCUUUCAUUUGUGUUUUUUGCUUUGCAAGUGGUAUCCGUGGUGCUGAUUUGAAAUAUUUUUAUCCCCUUUUA